rnacentral:lncRNA from 1 species
CAUUUUUGUUGCUGUUUAUUCAAAAUCUUUACUUUCAAAUUUUAGGAUCAAAAUUACUCGUAAUAUUUAAAUGCACAUUCCCAGGUCUCAGCGCUGAAUAAGAGAAUUAGAAUCUCUGAGGGAAGGGGCUCCAGGCAUGCUUAUUUUAACCAGCACUUAAGAGUCACAGGCAGAUGACACUAAGGCAGUUGGCUGUAAGCAUAGUGAAAAAUGUCAUACCUGUGAUGGUUUGUUUUCGAAGGCUAGCCACAGCCAUAUCUUCCAACACAGGCAUCCUAUGCUAGUUUCUAGAAUCUCUCCACUCCCUUUUCAAGAGGUGGAGUCCAUGCCCCAUACCUUUGAAACUGGGUGGGUUUUUGUGAUUAGUCAACCAGUAGAUUAUAGUGGGAAUGAUGCUAUGUGACUUCCAGGCUAGGUAAAAAAAAAGACGAUUCAGGUUCUGUUUUUGUUAGCUAGAACACUCGCUCUUGGAACCCAGCUACCAGGUAGUGAGACAGCCAAAGCUGCUCCAGCGAGAGGUCCACUCGGAGAGAAACUAAUAGCCAGCACCAACUUGCCAGCUACGUGAGCUAUCCUGGAAGUGGAUCUGGGCCCAGUCAGGCUGCCCAGGUUGACACAGCACAGCAUGGAGCAGGGAUGUGCCUUCCCUGCCAAGCUCUGCCCAAAUUGCAGAUUCCAGCGGGAAGUAAAUGAUUGUUGUCAUUUUAAAUGGUAUGCAUGAGCUGCUUUGUUAGGCAAUAUGUAAGUGGAACAGUGCACUUCUAAUAUUCACUUUGCUUUCUUCCUGAAUUCUGGGCCCUCUCUGAAAUAUUCCAAAGGUAUCCUUGUCCAAUGUCAUUUUUCCCCUAGAUUCUUUUAAUCACAGAACCACUAAUUUCAAACUUUUGGUUAUGUGAGGUUCUUAUUGUUACCUCUGAGGCUUGGUUUCUCAUCUCAAAAGCAGUCGUAAUAAGAGAACCCACCUCAUGAACUUUACACUUAGAUGAGAUAAUCCAUGUAAUCAUCCAGCAUUGUGCCCAGCACAUAAUAGUCUCAAUUUUUACUAGAUUUCUUGCAUUCAUAGUCUCCAUUUUAAAACUGCUAUAUUUAUAUAUUAAGUGCUUUAUUUAUUUAAAAAAUAUAUUUUUUUUGUAGUCCGAUGCCAUUUACAGGCUAUUUCCUAUGCUUGACAUGCUCUUCGAUACUAGGCCAGUUAGACUCUUAUUCAUCCUUGAGGGCAACUCUUCUCCCUUGGGAAAGCUUUCUCUGACUUUUCAAUCAGUUAAUGCCUCUCUGGGCUCACCUUGGAGCAAACUCUACUAUAGCCCUUAACACACUGGGCUGUAAUUAAUUACGUCUCUCUUCUCCAUUGGCCUGGAAGGCAGUCACGGUCGUCUCUGUAGUCUCACCGUCCAACGCAACACCUGGCACACCUUUACUCACCAUCCAGUCUGAGCUGUGCUGGGAAAACACCGCGGUUAAGCAGUUAAGGGGUCCUUGUUUUGGCAGACCAGCCCCGGGGUCACAACCAGCUCCAUUUUCUCCUGCAUGAUCUUAGAAAAAGUCAGUUGACGUUUCUGAGCCUCAUUUGUGGAAACACCUUCUGUGAAGAUGACGUAAAGUAACACCCGCGGAAAGCCUAUCCCAUAGCAACCAGCAGUCACCAGAACGCCUCAAAAUGCUUCUCCAACAAUCCCAUUUUCGGGCAGGGCCCUGCGCUCCACGGGGGUCCUCUCAGGGAUUACUCUGGGCUCGCGCCUCAUGCCUCCGGCUAGCAGCUCUGCCUUCAGGAGCCGACUCCCUGUCCCCUCAACUCUCUCUCCAAACCCUUGCUUUCAGCCUUCUCGGGGCUGAAGGGGCCCGAUUUACGUGCGAUUCAAAAUUCAAAACUCUCCGCCCGGGGAGACCCGCAUUCAGGAGUCUGGCCUCUGAGUCUCGGUCUCCCGCCUGCCUCCGAGGGAGCCGCCCCCCGCCGCGGCCGCGCGCAACUGCAGAAACGCUGAAGGAGCGAGAGCGACGGCGGAGAAUGAAUGGGCUGCGUCCGCCGCGGGGCCUCUGUGACGUCGCCCCCGGCGCAGGCGUGGCCGCGGCUAAGAGGCCUGCGGGGCGCCGGCCGCGCGACCCCAGCGGGCUCGGCCACGGGCGCCGGAGCCCC